rnacentral:rRNA from 1 species
UACGUAGGGGGCAAGCGUUGUCCGGAAUCAUUGGGCGUAAAGAGCGUGUAGGCGGCUCGGUAAGUCCGCUGUGAAAGUCCAGGGCUCAACCCUGGAAUGCCGGUGGAAACUGUCGAGCUAGAGUCCGGAAGAGGCGAGUGGAAUUCCUGGUGUAGCGGUGAAAUGCGCAGAUAUCAGGAGGAACACCAAUGGCGAAGGCAGCUCGCUGGCCCGGAACUGACGCUGAGGUGCGAAAGCGUGGGGAGCAAACAGG